CCUACGGGUGGCAGCAGUGAGGAAUAUUGGUCAAUGGGCGGGAGCCUGAACCAGCCAAGUAGCGUGAAGGAUGACAGCCCUAUGGGUUUUAAACUUCUUUUAUAAGGGAAUAAAGUGCCCCACGUGUGGGGUUUUGUAUGUACCUUAUGAAUAAGCAUCGGCUAAUUCCGUGCCAGCAGCCGCGGUAAUACGGAAGAUGCGAGCGUUAUCCGGAUUUAUUGGGUUUAAAGGGAGCGUAGGCGGUUCCAUAAGUCAGCGGUAAAAUCGUGCGGCUCAACCAUAGAAUUGCCGUUGAAACUGGGAGGCUUGAGUAUGUUUGAGGCAGGCGGAAUGCGUGGUGUAGCGGUGAAAUGCUUAGAUAUCACGCAGAACCCCGAUUGCGAAGGCAGCCUGCCAAGCCAUGACUGACGCUGAUGCACGAAAGCGUGGGGAUCAAACAGGAUUAGAUACCCUGGUAGUC
rnacentral:rRNA from 1 species